CUGACACCAGGGGGCAGUUUCGCCCAGUACCACAAAGCAGUGACAGGACACCUUACGAGUCUGCAAAGGGAUCACGUCACAGGAAGCUUGCGGAUGGGCAUACAAAGCCUCCUUCUUUUGCCACUUCGGUGCCACCAUGGGCUGCAGGCUCCUCUGCUGCGUAGCCCUUUGUCUCCUGCAAGCGGGUUCUAGUGAUGCCCAAGUCACUCAGACUCCAGGAUAUCUGGUCAGAGGCAAAGGACAGAAAGCAAGGAUGACUUGCACCCCCCAAAAAGGACACCCUGUUGUUUACUGGUAUCAACAGAUCCCGAGAAAAGAGUUUAAGUUUUUGAUUUCCUUUCAGAACGAAGAUAUGAUUGAUCAAAUCGAGUUGGUGAAAGAGCGAUUCUUAGCAGGUUGCCCCAAAACCUCCCCGUGCAGCCUGGAAAUCCAGUCCUCUGAACUAGGCGACUCGGCUGUGUAUUUCUGCGCCAGCAGCCAGGCCACAGUGCUGCGAUGUCAGCUGCUCCUCAUGCACAAACGCAUCCCGGACACAGCGCAGGAAGCAGCUGGCGCAUUGGGCCUGUGACGGAAGUCAGCUGGAGUUAGCUUGAGCUACCGUGGAUUUUCACACCAGGCUAAUGUGUGUGGAGCAGCAUUCAAGGAAUGAUGAACAGA